CUGUUUUCUACUUUCACUAUCACGGUUUUUGAUGUCAAUCAGUGCCUUGGUAGUCUAAUUAAUCACGGCUUUGUGUUGUAUUUUGCUCAUCUGGGUUUUGUAGAAAUUGUCUUAUUGUUGGAUAUUGCAUAUUACACGUAUGAUUCUUUGGUUAUACAGGUUUGAUUUUAUUAUAUGUAUGAUUUUUUGUUUUUCGUCCAAGUUAUUUUUUGGAGGAAAAAUUCUUACCAUUAGCAAGAGGGUCAAAGGCAAGUUUAAUAAAUACUAGCUUAUAACUAUAAUAAAUAAAUAAAAACCUAUAAAAAUCACAAGGAUAAAAGUAUCUGAUUGUAUAUGAAUUUGUCAAAAAAAAAAAAAAAAAUGAACGAGAAGCCCUUCUCCAUCAUUGAUGAUGAUUGAAAUUGUAGGUAAAAAUGAUCGAGAAGCCCUUCUCCAUCAUUGCUCUGCAGCUUUGUUAAUUUCUUUAUGGUUAUUAAAUAAUGUGGCUUUGUUGGCAGGGACAUCGACAUGGCUAAACAUGUACAUUUAUCAAGGUAUUGAAAGAUUCACAUAGUAAAUGACAACCGGACAAGAAUGCAUUGAACUUGUUGUCAAGAAAAGUGAAAAUCAAAUUGGCACUAAACUAUGGCUUCAAAAUGGGCCACUUGUUCUUUGGUUAUCCUUUCUCAAAGAAGCUAUUGCAGCAAGUUAAGUCAUAUUGUGUAAUAAAAUCCAAGAUGGUGUUUCAAGAUCAACUCUCAAAGACCAAAAUGCUUUAGAUCUAUCCAAGCAAGCUGAAUCACGUAAUGCUCUGUGUGGUAAAAUGUUGAAAGGUCCUAUUAGUCUAAAAGUUUAGCUUUAUUGUUUCUUUUUACUUUUAGGUUUGAAUUGUUAGCGGGAAUUCCAAACCCCUGAGUUAAUACCAAUUUUUUUAUUUUGUGGAUCUCCAU